UUAAAUAGCCGCAGUAUUUUGACUGUGCGAAGGUAGCAUAAUCAUUUGUCUUUUAAUUGAAGGCUUGUAUGAAUGGUUGGAUGAGGGAAUAGCUUUCUUUAUAUUAAAUAUUGAAUUUAAUUUUUUAGUUAAAAAGCUUAAAUAUUUAAGUGGGACGAGAAGACCCUAUAGAAUUUUAAUAAUAAUUUAUUAAAUAAUAAUUUUGGGUAGUACUUUUAUUAAUAAUUUAUUAUUUUUGUUGGGGUGACAGUGAGAUUUAAUUAACUCUCAUAAUAUAAUUUAUUAAAAAUAAAUAUAUUUAAAGAUCCUAUAUUAAGGAUAAUUAGAUUAAAUUACCUUAGGGAUAACAGCGUAAUUUCUUUGGAGAGUUCUUAUCAAUAAAGAAGUUUGCGACCUCGAUGUUGGAUUAAAAUUAGAUUUAAGUGCAGCAGCUUAAUUUCUAGGUCUGUUCGACCUUUAAAAUUUUACAUGAUCUGAGUUCAAACCG
rnacentral:rRNA from 2 species